AUAAAAGAGAUACCCAUACAAUGACUGGAUUUGUAUCGAUCGGUUUAUAUGGCAGCUAUAUGCUAUAGUCGUCCGAUAUCGGCGAUUUCGACAAAUAAGCAGUUUCUUGCGAAGAAAUAAGGAAGUGCAAAAUUUCAGACCGAUAUUUCCAAAAAUAAGCGACUUCUUCGCCUACAAGUAUAUACAGGCAGACAUACAGGCUAUUAAGGGCAUAAAGGUAAAACUAGAGGCUAAAUUUGAAAUGAAGUGAGGCAUUACAGUAGCCAAAACCAAUCCACAUGCAGCAACAACUCAAACAAAGCAGCCAUACAAAAAUGUUUGUAAAUAAACAAAAUAAAAAGUGACAGCAAAGCGCAACGAAUGUAAACAUUUUCAUUCAACUUGCCUUUUGAUGCAGGAAAAAAAUUUAGGCCACACAAAAGGCAGCAAAAAACACUAAAACAUUGCUGCUUAAUAUUUAGAUAUUCGACAGGGAAACAAAGUUUGAGGCAGGAAGAGUGCAGAGCAAACAUGACUAAAUACACAUGUAUGUAUGUAUAUAUGUAUACUAGUAUAUAGUACUUAGGCGGCGAGCAAGAAACUUGCGACUUCUUUGCCGAAAUACCUGCCAAAAAUCACCAAGCAAUGGCAAAUGUGGAACUGACAGCGGGAUAGGUAAAAACUGUGGAAUAUACAGAAAAAAGUCAAGUGAAUUCAUUAUGCGUAUGCGAAUUAACUGAAACAACAACUGACAGAGCAAGACAGCGCAAAUGACGCAAUGGGCGGAGCGAGUAGAGACGCAGUCAUAAGCCAGGGUUCAAGCAAAGAAUAUUUUUUACUGAUGCAAACAGCACAUCGGCAAACAAAUCAAAUGGAUUUUUAACACAAAUACCACAAAACUAUGAGCAAAAACAAUAAUUUGUCAAAUAAAAAACGAACGCAUACUAACGAUGUUACCAAACUUCAUGUGUAAACAAAAUCGAUGAUCGAUAACCCAAAAUGGCUUGCAAUACUUAAGCUUAAUGCAGAUUGUGAGAUAAUAAGCAAUUACACUGUGUUGCAAUAAUUUUAAAAUAAUUGUAAAACGCAAACAGAUUAGAGCUUGUAUUAUAUAUACUUGUAAGUAAAAAUGUAUAUGUGAAAUCAAUAAGUACCGC